GCCCCAGAAAAAAAGGUCCCCUCACCCUGUUUCUUGCACAGUAAUAUGUGGCCGUGUCCUCAGUCUUCAGGUUGUUCAUCUGCAGAUACAGCGUGUUCUUGGCGUUGUCUCUGGAGAUGGUGAAUCGGCCCUUCAUGGAGUCUGCGUAAAACAUGACAGACUCUCUC